rnacentral:piRNA from 1 species
UGGAAUGGUGUCUCUGUGGCUGUCUUGGA